UACGUAGGGUGCAAGCGUUGUCCGGAAUUAUUGGGCGUAAAGAGCUCGUAGGUGGCCUGUCGCGUCGGCUGUGAAAACUCGGGGCUCAACUCCGAGCUUGCAGUCGAUACGGGCAGGCUAGAGUUCGGCAGGGGAGACUGGAAUUCCUGGUGUAGCGGUGAAAUGCGCAGAUAUCAGGAGGAACACCGGUGGCGAAGGCGGGUCUCUGGACCGAUACUGACACUGAGGAGCGAAAGCGUGGGGAGCGAACAGG
rnacentral:rRNA from 1 species